UUUGCCAAAUUCUUUUGCCUCUACUUCUGUAAAAUUCAGAAGUCGAAGCAGCUGCAAGCACAUCAUAAUGAAAAUGAAACAAUGAAUGUGAACCAGCGAAACACUGGCUUCGCUACAAUUUUGAGCCCAUAAGCGAAGUUCUUGCCAAGUGGAACAGCCUUUACGAAAUAAGGCGAACAUUUUUGCAAUCUUCGGCGACCCUAGACGAAAUUUUCCAGGAAUACCCAAUCCUUCGUCGGUCGUUUGGACACGUUUUGGUGGAAUCAGACUUCGCUCGCUCAUUCCCAGGCAAGGAUAAACAACUCGUUGGUAACUGGGGUUAUUUUAAAACAAAAAUAUUCCCAAUAUUUAAAAACAACAUAUCGAGAAUAAGUUGUUGU